GAAGCACAGCAAGGUUGGAUCCAGGGCUGGACUUGAUGAUCUCGGAGGUCUUUUCCAACCCAGCUGAUUCUGUGAUUCUCUGAUUGCCAUUCCUGUGGCAGCACAUGCUUGAGGCUCCAUCCCCAGGGUGAGAGAGAUGUCUGUCCAUAUCUAUCUCCAAGGUUAGUCUGUAAAUGUGUGGUGUUAGCAAAGCAGGCUGAGUUGUGGGCUGGUUGUAGGAGAAAGAAGCCCCCAGCCCAGUGCAAGCAGGCAGCCCUGAGCUUGCACAUGAUGUCCCCUCCCUGCAGGUUCCUGUCCUUGAGCCCAGGCCCUGAGGUGAGGCUGAGAAUAAGUGCAAGGCAGAGGUGCUGCUGAGGAAGGAGAGCCCCGUGGUGGGGAAGGCACAAAGCUGUGAGUGCCCAUCCCCGAGCAGGUGCUGUGUCCAUCCCCUGUGUGCCAGGAUUUGUCCUUCCCAAAGCUUGGGCAGAUGAAGGAGGCUGCGAGGAAGAGGAAGAUGCCUUGGGCCCCCCAGGCAGGCCCCGAGCUGAGGACGGAGAGCCCGGAGGACAAAUCCCCCCGGCAGAGCCUGGUGGGAGAGGCCGUUUUGAAGGGCUCCCCGGCGCAGGAAGGCAGCGGGGAGGAAAAGGGCCGGAGAUCCCCCCGCAGGAGGGGCUCCAAAGCCAACCCAGGGUGCUCUGAGGAGGAAAGAGCCAGCCUGUGCCGGGAAGGCGGCCGGAGCUUGAGGGGGAAC